rnacentral:lncRNA from 1 species
GGUGGGUAUCGCGACCAGGAGGGGGAAAGAAAGGGUGAAACCCUACUUGUUCAAUCAAGGUCAAAAUUCAGCAAAUUAAUGGUGGUUCUUGACACAAAUCGAAUGCAUGAGACUGGAUACAACUUAAUCUAAGUAUAUUGAUCAUAAGGUAAGUUGCAAUUUAUGAUUUGAUGAUCUUAAUAGGAAUCACAUUAGCAAGGACUCGAAAACGGAAGGUUAACGGGUCAAGCAGAGGCGAGGAAACAAGCGUGAACACUAAAGCUCGAGGUAAGUGACUUUCGAUUCACUUCUUAGUAUACAUAUAGAGUUUUCUUGUUAUGGUUGAAUGGGAUGAUUGAUGUAUAUAAAAUGGCCGACAAGUAGGUAUGUAUGAAUGCAUUUAGGAAAAUUACGUAAGUACAUGCACGUGUGAGCUAAGGUAUGCACGGGUGUAGUUAUGAUUCAUUUUAUGAAUGUAUGUAAGUAUGGAGUUAUGUAUGCAUGUAUGUAUAUAUGUAGGUAUUGGUGUAUGUAUGUACGUAAGUAGUUAUGUAUGAGCAUGAGCAUUAUGUAUUUGAAUAUGAAAGUACAUACGGGUGUAGGUACGAACGUAUUUAUAUAUGUGGAUGCAAGUAAGUAUGUAUGUAUGUAUGUGAGUAGGUAUGUGUGUAUGUAGUUAUGUAUGUAUACAUGUAAAUACAUAUGCGAAGAUGUAAUCAUGUAUGUAUGUAAUUAGAUGCGUGGGUAUGCAAGUAAAGGUAUGUAUGUAUGUAGAUGUGUAUUAUGCGUAUGCGAAGAUACGUAGGUAUAUAUGAAUGUACGUAGAGAAGUAGUAAUGCAUGCGCGAAUGUAGAUAUGGGGUCGGUAUAGAAGAAGGUACGUAUGAGUAUAUGCAGGUAUGUAGAAAUAUAGGAGGACAUGUACGUAUGUAGAUGCAUAUGUAUACAUGUAAACAUGUACAUGUGCAUGAUUUAGAUACGUAGAAUUUUAACGUUACUAAUUAUGCGUUUGAGGUUGGUAUGUGAUGCAGGAACAAGUACACCGGAUUCUUACGAAACUUAAACCGAACCCGAAAUAAGAGGAGGAGAAAGAAUAAUUGGACGAAUUAAUGUUAAAUUGACGAACGUUAUUCAAUCUUUAAUUACAUGAGAUUAAUGUUAUAUGAUGUUGCCUUUGACUAAUGGUUAAGUUGUAUGUGAUGCCCACAGGUGUUACACGGACUUCUUCUGCUGCUAUGGAAGUGAAGCGGACGUAGAUCGAGUCAAGAGCAAGGAUUGUACGGAUAGAUUGGUCACAUAGUUGAAGUAUAUAACGUUUGGAAAUCUAAAUUUUAGUAUGAAUGUUGUAAAAUUCUUUUAUAGUACGUUUAACAUUUUUAGGAUUUGGAUCCUUCGUGAAAGAAAUGUUGUUAAUACGGAAGAAAAUUUUAAAGCUCUUU